UGGGGAAUAUUGCACAAUGGGCGCAAGCCUGAUGCAGCGACGCCGCGUGAGGGAUGACGGCCUUCGGGUUGUAAACCUCUUUCAGCAGGGAAGAAGCGGAAGUGACGGUACCUGCAGAAGAAGCGCCGGCUAACUACGUGCCAGCAGCCGCGGUAAUACGUAGGGCGCAAGCGUUGUCCGGAAUUAUUGGGCGUAAAGAGCUCGUAGGCGGCUUGUCGCGUCUGCUGUGAAAGCCCGGGGCUUAACUCCGGGUGUGCAGUGGGUACGGGCAGGCUAGAGUGCAGUAGGGGUAACUGGAAUUCCUGGUGUAGCGGUGAAAUGCGCAGAUAUCAGGAGGAACACCGAUGGCGAAGGCAGGUUACUGGGCUGUUACUGACGCUGAGGAGCGAAAGCAUGGGGA
rnacentral:rRNA from 1 species